rnacentral:lncRNA from 1 species
GUAGUGCGCGGCCGGCCGCUUCGCUGUCGCUCGGGUUCCGCCGUUGCCACCUCCCUACGGGCAAGUGCGAGAGGGGAGCCGAGGGCCGCCGCCGUCGCCGCCGCCGCCACCAUGGGGGUAAGUGAGGCUGGAGAAGUAAUGGGAAGUCCACAGCUGCCGUUCACCCUCUGCGUCCUCAUUGUUUCGUGAACCCCCUCACGUGACCCUGACCCCUUACAGUCUCACGUGACCCCCGGCCCCCACUUGACAAGAGUUCCCCACGCCUCGUUGUAAAGGUCCCGGCGUUGAGCCUAGCCCAGAAAUUCUCUGGGAGCCCUCUUCUCCCCCCCGCCCCCCACUCCGUUCUCUUCGUGCCCCUUCCUGCCUCUCUGACCCCCUAGAAGGCCUCCCCACUCCCGAGCCCCUGCUGCGUCCCUGAUAUUAGCCCCUUGCUCCUUGAAGACACCCAUCAUCUGGCUGUCACGGUCCUAGCGGUUUCCUGCUACCCGAACUUGUAGGGAACUGAGGCAGGGAGGCAAGAAGGCGUAUGGCCAAGGUCACAUUGAUAUGGCUUGGGCGCUGGACCCCAUCCGGUGACUCCGGAGUCUCGAUGGAAUCUGCUUCCCACUGCUCAAGUCUCUGCCCAGCCAGUUCCCCUACACUUUUGAACCGUCUGCUACCAGCUUCUUCCUGCUUCAGAUGAAACGUAGUCUUCCUUACCACACAGGCAUGCCCGUUCAGCUUCUGGCUGCAGUAAAAUGGAUCUUAGAAGUUGGAUUGUUCUUAGUCUUGUUACUGCAGGUGGCUUGCAAUGGAAGAGGGGGUGGAGGUGUACAGAUGAGUAGGGGGGAUGGGCUGGUUAUAGUCCCAGCCUGGAUGUAUAGUAACCACCUGUUAUGGUCUGACAGCAAGAAGAUGCAUUUCCAUGGCCUUUCCUGGGAUAUGCAGAUCUAGGGUUGGGCAAAAGCACCCUCCUAAAAAUGUAACUCUCUGAUCAUAGGGUUCGUGUGGAAUUUGCAACACUUUUAGCGAGUCCUGACUUUGAAACUAGAUGUGCCUCAGUGGCAGCCCCAUCUUUAACGGCUAGUGGCAUGACCCUGCAGGUGAUGAGGCCUGGCUUGGUUUUAUUCCUAUUUGUGCGAUGCACGUGACCUCCUCUUAGGAUAGUGAUGAAGAUUAAAUGAGAAAAUGGAUGUAAAUAGCCCACUAGGUGCCUUUAAGCAGUAGCUGCUAUUUUGCUUAUAUUCUCAGCCUCACUUCAGUGAUCUAAAAUAGAUUGGUGCUAUUUUUAUUCCUUUGGGUUUGUCCCUACUGUCACUAACCUAGAUUUUUUUUUUUCCCUCUCUCACAAACAAAUCAGCUUAUUAGACAAAAGUAGUCUAGCUUGUGACAAAACACUUAUUUUGGGAUCAAUGUCAAAACAAAACUUGAGGGGCCUGGGGUUACAUAGCUCCGUAGUAGAGUGUAUGCUUAACAUAUGUGAGGCCCUGAGUUCAGUCUUCACAAAAACCUCAAAACCUUCCAAAGCAUUUGUCAUAGUUCAGACAGUAAUUUUUAUUCAAUAUGAAGAAAAUCAAGGCUGAGAGACUUUGGCAUAUUUAACUUCAAUUUUAGUGAGCAGUUGCAGGCCCCUGCUGUUGUUGAAGCUAAAUGAAAUCAAGUUUCUAGUAUUACUCAUUAACUCUUUGCCCAGAAUCAGCCACUGCAGACAAAGCCCUAAGAGGGUGACAUGCCUCAGGUUCUGUACUUAUUCAUUGGUGGCACUGAAGUCAUGGGGCCCAGAUACACUGGGCUUCCUUUGAGUCCCCAUCUAUUGCUCAUACUGUGGAGAUGUUUCUCACAACUCCCAUCAGAGUGUCUCCUGGCCUAAAACUCAAAGCAGCAGAGACUUGAAUUACCUUCAUUGGAUCAGAUCUGGAAUACUCCCAUUACUCUCAUCAGUCCCCACCCCAGCCUCCAUGCCCCACCUGCAUAACUUGAAGCAGUUGUUCCUAGUAGUUGCCACCCAUUCCCCUAGGAAGUACCCUGCUUCUAAACCCCAGGCUGAGUGAUAGUGGGAGCAAGUGGAACAACACCUCUCCCGGGUUCUACUACUGUUGGGUUUGAGUUAGAGGAUAUAUCUCUCCCCUUGCCAGAACCAGUUGGGUGGAAGCAUUGACACGGAGGCCUAAGUGAUGUCAAAUCUCUUCUGGAAGCAGCCACUGGUGGAGUUUGUUUGUGGGUUGUCUUUUUAUUUCUCUUUGUGACUCCUAGACUAGUAAGGGGUUCAAGCCUGAAUUUGAAUCUGAGCCUCCUGUUUGUGCACACACUGGUAAGUAAAGUAAACCUACUCCUGCCUGGUGGAGCUGAGUCCAGCUGAGGCUGGGAAGACCUGUCAGAACUCUAGGACUUGAAUUAGUAGUUGGUUCUCACAGCUGAGCUGUCUACAACACAUUCUUUUUAGAAAAGCAGAGGCAGAGGGCUAGGGAUAUAGCUGUUCUAUAGAGUGCCUGCCUGGCAUGCCUGAGGUCCUGGGUUUGAUUCCUAGCACCUCGUAGACUGGGUAAAGUAAUUCAAGCCUGUAAUCCUAGCACUCAGGAAGAAGAGGCAGGAGGAACAGAAGUUCAAGGUCAUCCUUAGCCAUAUAACAAGUUAGGAGCCAACCUGAGCUAUAGGAGAUCCUGUGCCCCCCACCCCCAAAAAAGAAUGCACGGGCAGAGUGUCUGACACUAGUGGGUUCCUGUAAACAGAGACCAUCUCUAAAGCUGGAAAUGAAGCUCAGUGUAACAUAGUAGCUAUGAAUAUGCUUUGGUCCUAGCACAUGUACAGCUAAAAAGAGUUUAAAUCCAAUGCAUAAUACCAUUUUAUCUGUACAACAGCCCUUUGAUUAUUGCUGUAGGAAUUAUUAGGUCCAUUCUAUGGUUGAGGAAACUGAGGUUCUGACAAACUGAACAACUUGCCAAAGGGGCUUUAAGUAACAUGCCUAAAGCCAUAGCUAUUAAGUGAAAGAGCUGAGAAUCAAAUCCAGGUCUCUUGACUCAAAAGCCCACACUCUUUUUAUUAUAUAAAGCUCCCUUGGGAACGACACUUAACCACAAUGAGCUUUACUGUUCACUGUGCUUAUUUCCCAUUUUAAUUAGACAAGUUUUCCUGCGUCCCUGCAGGACAGCCUUACCUCCACAAGGCUUCAGCGAAGCUAAUUGGAACAGUGGGAGACCACUCUAACUGGUGUUUGCUGGAGUUGCAGGAGGGCCCCUGCCUGUGUGGCCCAGCCUGCCUCUACCCCUCACUCUGUGCUGGCUGCCAAGUGCUUAAGGGGUGUUGUCCAUUAUCUCAAUCUCCUUGGUAGUGGCCUUGAGGGUUGCCUGGUUUGCCACUCAGUCUGCAUAAGUCUCAGAAACCAUGUUCCUGUGUUGAGAAAUUAAAUGUUGUGGAAGAACCCAGGUUUUGUGCUUUUGGGGUCCUGGGAGUCACACUUGGUUUCCAGCACCUUUAAUCUUGUCCCACAAUGUGUUUUGUGGCAGUCCAACAGUCCUACACUCUGUUGGCUUGGUAGGGUGGAGAAGGGAACUUACAUCUCCUUUGAAUGUGAAGAUAUGUUAGCAUCCCAGUUUCCCUGGAGAUGUUCAAAUGGUCAUUUAGGGGUGGCAGGUGGGCAUGGCCUUAUCUGGUUGAUGGAAUACUCAUGUUCCUGAUGCUCCAUGGUGCAGCUCUGGAGACUUCAGCUACUGUUUCUCUUUUCCCUGCCUCCACCUUAGCAUGGAGGUGGUGUAAGAGGUGGCACUGUUGGGAAUUGGUUCCCAGGUAAAUGGGCAUCAAGAAAUUAGUUGCUCCGGGCGGUAGUGGCGCACGCCUCUAAUCCCAGCUCUUGGGAGGCAGAGGCAGGCGGAUUUCUGAGUUGGAGGCCAGCCUGGUCUACAAAGUGAGUUCCAGGACAGCCAGGGCUACACAGAGAAAUCCUGUCCCGAAAAACCAAAAAAAAAGAAAGAAAAAAAAGAAAUUAGUUGCUAAGUGGUUGCCUGAGAGUGCUCGAAGCCCCUAGCUUUAUCUCUGCAGGAUAUGAGGUCUUUGGUGACUGAGCUGAAGUCUAGACAAAGGCUGCAUCUGUGGCCUGGCCCCUCAUGUCUCCAUUUGGCCACUCACUCCCUGGGGAACCAUGCAUGAGUCAUGCUCCCUUGGGCCUCAGUUUCUUAAUGUAUAAAGGUAAGUGAUGGCUUCUACCCUGAGCCUUGACCCAUGUAUUCCUGUGAAAGUACUUUGUUAAUGGAUUUCAGCGUGGUGUUGAAGCCUAUAUUCCAGAGGGAAAAUAAAUCCCGGAAAACCAGUUGGAGGGGCUACUUCUGUUCCCAUUUGCACCUCCGUGAAAACAGCCUCAGGCUGGGGGUAUAGUUGAAUGUUAGACCACUGGCCUGUCAUGCACAAGACCCUGAGUUCCAUCCCCAGCACCACAAAGACCAACAAAAACCUGUAUGUGAGCCAGGCAGAUUUCUGAGUUCGAGGCCAGCCUGGUCUACAGAGUGAGUUCCAGGAUAACCAGGGUUACACAGAGAAACCUUACCCCG